UGGGUUUGACAUGCAGGGAAAUCCCAUAGAGAUAUGGGGUCCGCAAGGGUCCUGCACAGGUGGUGCAUGGCUGUCGUCAGCUCGUGUCGUGAGAUGUUGGGUUAAGUCCCGCAACGAGCGCAACCCUCGUCCUAUGUUGCCAGCGGAUAAUGCCGGGGACUCAUAGGAGACUGCCGGGGUCAACUCGGAGGAAGGUGGGGACGACGUCAAGUCAUCAUGCCCCUUAUGUCCAGGG
rnacentral:rRNA from 1 species